UCUUGUGGGACAAUAAUUGCCUAGGCCAAGGCACUGAACGUGCAGCAAACCAGCAGUAGUUUCUGACCCACUGCCCUGCAAAGAAUUCUCACGUAAAUCCAGGUCCUCAAUUUUUCUUACAUAUUGAAGAUAUGGAUCUCUCUCUCUCUCUCUCUCUCGCUGGCCUUCAGAGAAAUCCGCGCUGGGAAAAAUGACAGCCAUGAAAUCUUGAAUCCAGACCAGGACACAAAAUCAAGAUGGAAUACCUAUCACGAAACUAACCUCAUGACUGAUAAAUGUGUAAGAUUUUGAAAGUGACUGGGAUGGCAGCACUGCGUUGGCAACAAAACAUUUCCAAAGCAGGACCCGCCUACUACAUUAUAUUCAAGGAAAAUGUCCAGCAUCCCCUAUGAAAAUGCUACCAGUAUGUACACAUGACAAUACCUGUUUUGACAACUGAUAUACCAUUCAAG